rfam:Xenopus laevis strain J chromosome 3S, whole genome shotgun sequence.
GCAUCAGUGGUGCAGGGGUAUCAUGCUAGAUUCCCAUUCUUGCGACCUGGGUUCAAGUCCCGGCUGGUGCA